GACAGAGGAGGCUAGCGUUGUUCGGAAUCAUUGGGCUUAAAGCGCGUGUAGGCGGCCUUGUAAGUGGCUUGUGAAAUCCCACGGCUCACCCGUGGAACUGCAGGGCAAACUGCAAGACUUGAGGUCGGUAGAGGCGACUGGAAUUCUGGGUGGAGCGGUGAAAUGCGUAGAUAUCUAGGGGAACGCCGGAGGCGAAAGCGGGGCGCUGGGCCGAUUCUGACGCUGAUGCGAGAAAGCGUGGGGAGCAAACAGG
rnacentral:rRNA from 1 species